rnacentral:lncRNA from 1 species
UGGAUACGCCAAGUUUGACUGCUGAGGGGUCAACUACUGUGAAAAGAAACAUAUUUAAUCAAAAGCCUCCAUCAACUUCAGAUGCAUCAGCUAGUGGAUGCUGCUGAAUUUGAUGCUAGUGGAUGCUGCUGAAUUUGAUGUGUUGUAACCUGAGGAAUAUGUAUCAUGUGGGAUGGAUGUUUGUUAUUUCUUUCAUGUUCUUUGAAACGACCCACCCUUGUAUCUUUGGUUGAACUAUGAUCAUGAUAAUAUUUAUUAUAUGCUGAAAUUGGUUGAUAAAAUCUAUUAUAUGUUUAUCAGACAUACGUUACACCGAUCAUUAUAUAUNNNNNNNNNNNNNNNNNNNNNNNNNNNNNNNNNNNNNNNNNNNNNNNNNNNNNNNNNNNNNNNNNNNNNNNNUAUAUAUAUAUAUAUAUAUAUAGAGAGAGAGAGAGAGAGAGAGAGAGAGAGAGAGAGAGAGAGAGAUAUGUUCAAACGAAAACAUUUUCUAUGAUGAGAACAUUUAAGAACAUUUAUCCCACCACCUACCCCACCCUUAACCACUGGUCCAUCUAUUCCCCUUCUCCCAAACUAGUUUUUCGCUCAAAUCCGAAUACAACACUCAAUUUUCACCGCUGCAUUUUUUCCACUCCGUCAUCGUUAAAGUUACUAGUAAUCGGAUUGACACCAUCAAUCACUACCGGAGAUCACUUUUGCAACAAUGGAUCCUCAAUUUCAACGACAACUGGCGGCAAUACUGGGAGUCGAUAUGCCGUUCGAAGCGCUAAUAUCUCAGUUAGUGGAGGUGGUGGGAUCUAUGUUGCAGAUAGUUAAGCCAAGUCAAGUCGGAGACGCUACUACAAUCUUCAAGGUAUAAAAUUAAUACCACCUAGUUUUCAAUUAAAUCUUCUUGUAUCAUGCUUAUGCUUGCGAAACAUUAAUUUUUCAUGAUACGUGAUCCUAAUUUGUUUUGGAAAGUGUUCUAUAGUGGUAAUUGCAACAACUAUCACAAGUUUAUUCAUUUUUUCCAUUAUUUCUUCUAGUCCUUUGACUUGAAACUCAGUGUAAUAAUAAACGACCACAAGAAGAUGAAUCAACGACAAGAAAAAAAUCUGAAUUAUUGGACUUCAUUUCCCCAAACAUAUUCAACAACUUGAAUGUUUGGUUGUUGAGAUUAUAAACUGGAUUUUAUAUUCUUGCAUAGUUUCCCAAAACAUAUUUUGAUAUCUUUGUUUAAUUUUCCUCUGUGUAGGAAUCGAAAGAGGUGACUUAAAGAGCUUCAUGGGUUAAGUUGGCAACUUAACCCUAAUAAGUAUGAAAGUGACAUUUUAUUUGAAAAUCCUUAACUUUGAACCCUCAUUAAGCCAACCAUUAAGGCCCUUAGGUUAAAUUGAAUUUCACAUCUCUAUAGCCUAAUAAGUAACCAACAAUCAUGUUAAAAGUGAUAAACUUAAGGCUUAACCGUUAACUCCUUAAUAGAAUAGCAAAAAUGAUUUAGAAACCUAGGAAUUCCACACUAUAAAAGUAACCCCUACCAUCCCUAAAAUUGGCCAUAAGAAUUCCAAGGUGAAUCCCUAGCCGAUUUAUGUUUCCUAACCUCUCUCUUAUAAGCCUCCUUUUGCUUUUGGUGUUUGUGACUUAUUUGAGGUAUCACAUUUGAGGUACUAAGUUCUUGAAAGGCCAAGAACUACAAGCUACAACAAAGCGGUAUUCAUCUAACUAAUUUUUACGUUGUAUAUCUCCAAUUGCAUGCUAGCUAGGGGUAUAUGCUUUGGAUGAAAUGAAAUUGUAUGUAUAACUUGAGAAAACUUAGAUCCAAAGCAUCUAUGGUUGUAUGUGCACCAUAGGAUUGUUAUAGUGCUCAAAACCUAUCAAUGGUAUCAGAGACUAGGGUGUUUUCUGUUAUAUUGAUGCAAUUGUAUUGUUUUCAAAGCUGAAAAUUUUCAAUUUUUUGGUCUCUGACUGCUGGACUCGACGAGUCCAUGCCAUGAACUCGACGAGUUAGAUCAUCUGUUGGCAGAUUUUCGAGUUUUUGGCCAGAUUUGGAUUAGGAUCAUUACCACAAACUGUUUUGACUGAUAAAAUUCGAUUUUUCUGAGAAGGUAUUGAUUAUCCUCAUCUAGUUGAAUGAUGAUUGUCAAAUUUUAAGAUAAUUACUUGAUUUUGUGAAAAACUAAUUAUUUGUAGAAUUUGAUUUGAAUCAUCUUGCUAUAUGAAACUAGAUUAAGUCAAUUUUGUGAUAUAGUUAAUUAUAUGAUUAAUUUAAUUGUUUUCAAAUUGAUUCAAGAAGUUUUGAAAAGUUUCAAAACUUGCCCUCAUGUUUUGGAAUUUAAAAAUUGAUUAAAAGGUUUUAUUUUGAAAUAUUUAAAUUCUAAACCAUAGAGUUUUAAAAGUGUAAAAUUCAAUCCUUGUACUAUUAUAAUAUUAAAAGCUCAAUACUUAUGUAUGUAUAAGAUAGUCAGUCUUAUCAUUAGUAGGCCUCAUUCACGAAGCUGGUCUAUAAGGGGAGGGGGGUAUAAGGAAAUUGCCUAUAAAAUGGCGAUUGAAUGAGUGCCCAUUCUCAUCCACCGCUUCCUUGACUAGUGGAGGGUCCGUUAGCCGAACAGGUAGGAUAUGACAUUAAUUCUCAUUAAAAAGUAUAAUGAUAAUUAUAAAAGUAACUAAAUGUUUUCAUAAAUUACCAAUCUUAGUUACUUUAGGAAAAAUGUUAAAAUGGUGCCAUUCCAUGAAAUUGCACUUUGCACCUUGCCAAGUCGUUAAUAGAGCGUGUGUGGUUUACCGACACACUAAUUUGGACUACCAAGGGUGGCAAAGGGUAGCUCGAUGUUUGUCAUAGAUCAAUGGAGCAUGUGUGAUUAACCGACCCAUUGAUUAGAUGAUAAAUGACAUUGAGAGUGCCAAGCAUAUUUGCAUGGUUAUUUACACCUUGUUUGUGAACCUCGGUAUCCCAGUCACAAACUUGAAGGGAAUAAUCGAGAUUUCAACAUGCCAUUGAAAGGUUCAAUGAAUCUCAAAGAACUAGGAAUUUCAUAAAACUUAAUUCUUUUCAAAUUUCGUUUUUGGUGGUGAAAUUGGUAAAUCAUCAUUUACCUCCCUUCAAAUCAUUUGCAAUUAGAUUACGACAUCCCUUUUCUAAGUUGUGAAUUAUUGUGUUUGGGUCCUAGCCUUAAUAUUUCAUUUUGGUGUUAUAUUAAGGAUUUUCUAUCUAAUAAAACUUGUUCUUCCUUUUCAAAUGUCUACUUCAAACUCAAAUGCUUCUGACUCUUUCUCCCUCAUGAACUUAUGUGGGAUGGUCAUUUUCGAUUGGUCGAAUUUCAAUGAUUGGAUUCGAAAAAUUUGCAUGACCAUUCGAUGCGAGGAAAAUGAAUAUGUCCUUGAAAAAGAGCUAAAGGAGAUUGAUGAAGAAACUACUACUCCUGAGCAACUGGCUGAGUAUAGGGCUCAUGAGAAGGACACGACAAUGGUGUCGUCCAUCAUGCUAGCCAUUAUGACUUCUGAGCUUCGGAAGUCCUACGAGGACUUCUGGCCUUUCGAGAUGCACCAAGACUUGAUGGAAAGGUACCAUCAGAGUACUCAUCAAGAAAGGUAUGAAAUCAUUGCCUCCAUGAUAACAACAAAAAGAAGGAUGGAGAGUCCAUCACGACCCAUUUGCAAAAGAUGCAAAGAUAUGUGGACCGCUUGCUAAAGUUGAAUGUCAAUUUCGACGAAGAGUUGGCUAUCAACAUUAUCCUACACUCUUUACCUUCUUUUUAGGAUCAGUUCCAAAUAACUCAUCAUAUGAACAAGGAGGAAGUUAAUCUAAGCAAGCUUCAAGGCCUUCUGAGAACUGUUGAAAGUAGUUUGAAAGGCAAGUCUGUUGUACCUACUCCUACUGUUGCUGCCCCAGUCCUGGUAAUUGGACAUGGUAAAGGGAAGAAAAGGAAAUCUCCUACAAAGAAUCACAAGGGAAAGUCUCGUGAUGGAUCGUCUUCUCCAACCCAAAGGAAGCAGAGUGCUUCCAUUGUCAUGAAAAUGGACAUUAGAAACGAAGCUGCCCUAAAUACUUGCAGGACAUUAAGGAUGGGAAGAUAAAGCACACCUUCGCAGGUAUUUACACUAUUCAAUGUAACAACUCAUCAUAUGCUAGUUCUUGGGUCCUUGAUACAGGAUAUGGUUUUCAAAUUUGUUAUGAUUUCUAUGGUCUAAAAAGAAGUAGAGAUGUGGAGCAUGGGAAGAUGAACUUGAUCAUGGGGAAUAGGAAAGCGUCACCUGUCACCAAGAUCGGAUUUUAUUCUUUAUUGCUUAGUAAUGGGUUAGGGAUAGAUUUGGGCCCAAUUUCGAAUGAUUUAGGUAAAUCAAUAAUACUUAUAGUUUGGGCUAAUGAUCCAAGUUGGUAUCAGAUGCAUCAACUAGUGGAUGCUGCUGAAUUUGAUGUGUUGUAACCUGAGGAAUAUGUAUCAUGUGGGAUGGAUGUUUGUUAUUUCUUUCAUGUUCUUUGAAACGACCCACCCUUGUAUCUUUGGUUGAACUAUGAUCAUGAUAAUAUUUAUUAUAUGCUGAAAUUGGUUGAUAAAAUCUAUUAUAUGUUUAUCAGACAUACGUU